UCCAACUUAUCGCUGGCGGUCUCCUGCGAGUUCCCCCUUGCGGGUGGCAACACAGGACAAGGGUUGCGCUCGUUGCGGGACUUAACCCAACAUCUCACGACACGAGCUGACGACAGCCAUGCAGCACCUCGACCUCACUCCCUUGCGGGAUAGCGCUGUUUCCAACGCCGUUGAAAGGCCGUUCGAGCCCAGGUAAGGUUCUUCGCGUUGCGUCGAAUUGAACCACAUGCUCCACCGCUUGUGCGGGCCCCCGUCAAUUCCUUUGAGUUUCAGCCUUGCGGCCGUACUCCCCAGGCGGGGCACUUAAUGCGUUAGCUCCGACACCGAAUGCGUCUAUACACCCGGCAUCUAGUGCCCAUCGUUUACGGCGUGGACUAC
rnacentral:misc_RNA from 1 species